rnacentral:rRNA from 1 species
GAGUUUGAUCAUGGCUCAGAUUGAACGCUGGCGGCAUGCCUUACACAUGCAAGUCGAACGGUAACAGGUCUUCGGACGCUGACGAGUGGCGAACGGGUGAGUAAUACAUCGGAACGUGCCCAGUCGUGGGGGAUAACUACUCGAAAGAGUAGCUAAUACCGCAUACGAUCUGAGGAUGAAAGCGGGGGACCUUCGGGCCUCGCGCGAUUGGAGCGGCCGAUGGCAGAUUAGGUAGUUGGUGGGAUAAAAGCUUACCAAGCCGACGAUCUGUAGCUGGUCUGAGAGGACGACCAGCCACACUGGGACUGAGACACGGCCCAGACUCCUACGGGAGGCAGCAGUGGGGAAUUUUGGACAAUGGGCGAAAGCCUGAUCCAGCAAUGCCGCGUGCAGGAUGAAGGCCUUCGGGUUGUAAACUGCUUUUGUACGGAACGAAAAAGCUUCUCCUAAUACGAGAGGCCCAUGACGGUACCGUAAGAAUAAGCACCGGCUAACUACGUGCCAGCAGCCGCGGUA